CACCCACCACAAGAUAUGAGGGUGCACUUACAGAAAAGAAGACAGAAAUAAUCAGGACUUUGAAGAAAACACAAUUAAAAAGAGCAACAAGAGUGACAUGUUUGCCAGAAUAAACCAAGACAAAGAAACCCCACAGCUGGCUGUUUUGUUCCUCUGCAUUACUUUGACAAACAUUAUUGUAGUUGCAGUUUCUGCAGGUUCUUCUCUCAGUGAUCAAGUCUAUCAGACGCCACAAGCACUGUUCAGCAAUCCUGGAGAAAAUGUCAAACUGGAAUGCUCGCACAGUAUUCUGAGCUACAACCGGAUCCUGUGGUACAAGCAGCCUAAGAAUGGACACCUACAGCUCCUGGGAUACAUGUAUUUACAAAAAGACUAUCCAGAGAGUGUAGAACAUGUGAAGAUGGAAGGGAGUGCAGUUACAGGCAAAACCUGCACUUUAACCAUCGACAAACUCACCCUGAACAGCAGCGCUGUGUACUUCUGUGCUGCCAGUUUCCACAGUGCGUCACAUCUCUGCUCCUCAGCACAAAAAACCUCAUGA